UCUGGGAUUAGAUACCCCACUAUGCCAAAUAGUAAACUUUAACUUACGCCGAAAUCGCCAGGGAACUACGAGCUAAGCUUAAAACCCAAAGGACUUGACGGUACCCUACAUCCUUCUAGAGGAGCCUGUCCUAUAAUUGAUAACCCCCGUUUAACCUCACCUCUUCUAGCCGAUCAGCCUGUAUACUUCCGUCGUCAGCUUACCGCAUGAGCGCCCCUCAGUGAGCCCAAUGUUUUUACUACAAUACGUCAGGUCAAAGUGCAGCAAAUGAAGAGGGAAGAGAUGGGCUACACUUUCUACAAUAGAAGAUACGAAAGAUUAUUGUGAAACCUUAAUCAGAAGGUGGAUUUAGUAGUAAAAAGAAGAUAGAGUAUUCUUUUUAAUUUGGCACUAGGGUGCGUACACACCGCCCGUCACCCUCCUCAA
rnacentral:rRNA from 1 species